rnacentral:lncRNA from 1 species
CCCUGGUUUCCUGAAAGAACUUUUUUUUUCACCUUUUAUAAGAUAUCAAAAUGGUCUUAUAAGAAAGUGCAUGAGCCCAGCUUGCCAAAUUACUAUAUCAAAUAAUAAUAAUGAACCUUUUUAUGGUCACCCACAGUGAGCUACCUGUGCUGAAGAACAGCUGCAUAAAUGUAUUCGCUACCUGAUGGGCUCGAAUAAAAGAAAACUGGUAUCUUCAAUUCCUCAUCAGAAGACCACUGCAGACUAAUCUGAUGAAGGAACGAAGUCUAUAGAGAAAAGCUGAAUGGAAAGGGUGAAACUUCGCAAGGCCAAACAGAAAGCAGCUGCUACAGAAUGAAGCAGGCACAUGGAGCUGCAGACUUUGACACUGUGAUCCAUGUAAGAGAGACUUCGAUAAUAACUCAACAUUCUUUUGAGACAAGAGACUGGUCACAUCUUAAAACCAACGACCACAUCACAUGUCCUUCCUGACCUCAAGUCCUGAAUCUCCUCUCCAUGAAAAUCUAUUUGUUGCCGUCUUCCCAAGAUCUCGGUGGAGAAGAAAGAAGGAUCCUCUCUGGGAGACAGCCAAGUCUACUUUCUCAUCCUUUCCCUGUCAUUCACUUAAGACUGGUUAGUAGAUUUGAAUUUGAACCAAAAGUAUGAGAAAUGCUAUUGGAGGAUGUGAGAGAACCGACUCAGCUCUAUAACCUGGAUUGCAAGUAAGAUCCCUGAAAACAACUUCCUCAGUGGCCUUAUUUUACGUGACUUACCUUGUUUUAACUUAGAAUAUAUUUGAGAUAAAAGGAAACCCAAAUCUCCAGAGAUAUUGGGGUAGAAUCAAAUGUAAAAACGUCCAGUUAAAGGAGCUGGUUAUCAUGGAAAAACACUGUGAUAUUCUGACAGGAAUAUAGGGGAAAAUGGUAGAAUAUUUAUUGGAAAAACUUGGCGGCUUUAUACAUUUCAUACUGAAAUGUAUUCAACUCUUUGUGAUGGAAACAAAUUUCCUUAGGUCUUCUCCAUAAUAUAUAAAAAUAUAUAGUAAAAGGAGUGUACUUCAUCAAAUUCAACAUAUCACUUUUUUAUUAAGAUGUAUUUGUGCAUGAUUUCAGUAUGGAACAAUGCCUUCUU